GGUCUUGACAUCCACAGAACUUUCCAGAGAUGGAUUGGUGCCUUCGGGAACUGUGAGACAGGUGCUGCAUGGCUGUCGUCAGCUCGUGUUGUGAAAUGUUGGGUUAAGUCCCGCAACGAGCGCAACCCUUAUCCUUUGUUGCCAGCGAUUAGGUCGGGAACUCAAAGGAGACUGCCAGUGAUAAACUGGAGGAAGGUGGGGAUGACGUCAAGUCAUCAUGGCCCUUACGACCAGGGCUACACACGUGCUACAAUGGCGCAUACAAAGAGAAGCGACCUCGCGAGAGCAAGCGGACCUCAUAAAGUGCGUCGUAGUCCGGAUUGGAGUCUGCAACUCGACUCCAUGAAGUCGGAAUCGCUAGUAAUCGUGGAUCAGAAUGCCACGGUGAAUACGUUCCCGGGCCUUGUACACACCGCCCGUCACACCAUGGGAGUGGGUUGCAAAAGAAGUAGGUAGCUUAACCUUCGGGAGGGCGCUUACCACUUUGUGAUUCAUGACUGGGGUGAAGUCGUAACAAGGUAACCGUAGGGGAACCUGCGGUUGGA
rnacentral:rRNA from 1 species